rnacentral:rRNA from 1 species
UACGGGGGGGCAAGCGUUGUUCGGAAUUACUGGGCGUAAAGGGUUUGUAGGUGGCUAAUUAAGUCAGACGUGAAAUCCCUCAGCUUAACUGGGGAACUGCGUCUGAUACUGGUUGGCUUGAGUGCAGGAGAGGAAUGCGGAAUUCCAGGUGUAGCGGUGAAAUGCGUAGAUAUCUGGAGGAACACCGGUGGCGAAGGCGGCGUUCUGGACUGCAACUGACACUGAGAAACGAAAGCCAGGGAGCAAACGGG